rfam:Yersinia pestis FV-1 contg_122, whole genome shotgun sequence.
GAUUCUCAAUAAAGUGUUUUUCUUCCCCAUAGUGUAGAACUUCCCCUAAUUGGGAGGCGUUUCGUCGUGUGAUAAAGAAUGCGAAGACGAAUAAAUAUCCUCCGGCAUAGCCGGAGGUUUUUCAUAU